AACCUCCGCAAUGUGAGAAAUCGCGACGGGGGGAUCCCAAGUGCCAUUCUUAACGGGAUGGCUUUUCAUUAGUGUAAAGAGCUUUUGGAAUAAGAGCUGGGCAAGACCGGUGCCAGCCGCCGCGGUAACACCGGCAGCUCUAGUGGUAGCAAUUUUUAUUGGGCCUAAAGCGUCCGUAGCCGGUUUAAUAAGUCUCUGGUGAAAUCCUGUAGCUUAACUGUGGGAAUUGCUGGAGAUACUAUUAGACUUGAGACCGGGAGAGGUUAGAGGUACUCCCAGGGUAGAGGUGAAAUUCUGUAAUCCUGGGAGGACCGCCUGUUGCGAAGGCGUCUAACUGGAACGGUUCUGACGGUGAGGGACGAAAGUUAGGGGCGCGAACCGGAUUAGAUACCCGGGUAGUCCUAACUGUAACGAUGCGGACUUGGUGUUGGGGUGGCUUUGAGCUGCUCCAGUGCCGAAGGGAAGCUGUAAGUCCGCCGCCUGGGAAGUACGGUCGCAAGACUGAAACUUAAAGGAAUU
rnacentral:rRNA from 1 species